rnacentral:RNase_P_RNA from 2 species
GGCGCCGCGCCACGCGCCCCCGCGAAGGCUUAAGGUCCUGUGCCCGCCUUCUUUCGAGCUGGGGGUGAAGGUCUUCGCAUCCGCCUCGCCAACAGUUCUAGUGAACAAGCACAGAGAGGUGCUACGGCUCACCAGAAACAUCCCGCACUUUGAUGGGACGCUCCAGGCUCUCUGGGGGUUUCCCUGCGGUUGGAAGAGUCCCGGGACGCGAAAUUCUUUGAGUGCAAAUCUGCCGAGCAGUGCGGGCGGGGAGGGUUUGCCUUCCUCGUUCGCGUUGUGACUCGAUGAGGACUAUACACC